CUGUGCAUAUUUUCAGAAUGAGACAUCUGGUGGUGACUUUUGGCAAAACUAUUAGUAAAACAUUAGUUCUUUCGUAGCGUUUAGGUUAUAUUUAUACAAGUUUCGAUAGCGAUUUCUAGCGGUUUUUGUGUAUUUUUUUGGAUUUAUUCGAGUGAAAUAAUGGAAAUCCAAACAUUGUUCGGUUUCUUGAAAAUAAAGUUCGAUCAUUUCACUAAAGGAAAUGAAGAAAAAGGCCAAGCCUUAAAGGCAGCUGGCCAUGUUUUUGGACUCAUUGAGAGAGGUGGUGUAAUAAGUGCUACAGUGAUGAGGCAGACUUCAGUGAAUUUGCCUCCUUAUAAUGUGCAGAUCACGCUUGACAAAGAGAGAAAUGUGUGCAAUGCAUCUUGCUCCUGUAUUGCUGGCAUUUCAGGGCAUUGCAAGCACAUAUCAGCAACAGUGCUCUGCGUGAAUGAGGAAGAUUCGUCGACCCAAACGAGUAGGCCUUGUACUUGGAAGGAACCUUACGUUGCCAAAACAGCCAAGGCAAAGUAUAUGAAGGGGCAAAGGUUUACCGAAAUAUUUGGUGCACCGAAGAGGCAGAACAUUUAUCCUCCUGUGGAAGUGACUGCAGGAAUGGUAACCUUUUCUACCCCUUCGAUGCUGCAAUAUAUGUUAGGACCUUCAAGUACAAAGUGUUCUACCAGUAUCACGCAGACACCUACCAGGUUGUAUAAAUACUAUUUGAACGAGCCGAAAUCGAGGCCUAGCAAUUUUGAACAUAUCAUAUAUUAUUCCUUAUUUUAGUCCUUUUUGUUGUGGUCUUUUUGUGUUUGUUUCAGGAAUAUUACGAGUAGGACAUCACAAGCUGCUCAUGAUGUGAGGGAUGUCAUCAAGCAGAUCAUUUUGAAGCAAGCACAAUCAAAAAUUCUGAAAAAUCUUUAUCAUGUUGACAUAGAUCUGCAGAAUCAUUGUUGUAGAACUACCUACAAUCAUCACAUACCGUGUGAUUCUGUAGAAGUAUGUUCUGCAACAUUGAACUGUAAGGUCUUAUGGAUGAAGCAGAGAAGAUUCAGAAUAACUGCUUCAAGAGCGUAUGCUCUAUUCACUUAUAAGGGAUCUGACUGGACCAGCAAGUGCCAAAAAUAUUUGAUGAAUGUCCCUUUCAAUAAUAAGUACACACAGCAUGGGAUUGAUUGGGAACCUGAGGCCCGAUCAGUUUAUUCAAGGGAAAAAAAAUGCUGCGUUGUGGAAACAGGGCUUGUGGUUUGUCAGUCAGAUCCCUGGCUUGCUGUUUCUCCCGAUGGUGUGAUACUGGAAAAUGGGGAGCCAGUGAGAUUAUUGGAAAUAAAGUGUCCAUUCAUUGGUCAAACAGUAUCCGCUGACAAAAUCGAGGACCAUUGGCAAUAUUUAAAGAGGGAAAAGGGUCAACUAGUGUUGAAGGAAUCAAAUAAAUAUUAUGCCCAGGUCCAACUGAAUAUGGCAGUUUUGAAUUUGGAGAAUUGCGACUUCGUGAUUUUUUCAUCUUUGGAUAAGAGUUUUAAAACUGUGAAUGUGCCAUUCAAUGAAGAAUUCACAAGAAAACUCCUUGUGAAACUGAAAAUCAUUUAUUUCAGACAUAUGCUUCACACAUUGUGCACCUUAAAACUUUAACUUUUCACCUCUAUGAUCUAAGAUACAUGGAAUGGCCAUUCAUUGCUAUGAAUGAAUUUUUUGUAGUACACACAUUCAAUGUUUCUUUGUCUUGCACGACACUAAGGCAGAGGCAUUCUUCUUAUUGAAAAUGGAUGUGACAACAAUGUCUGAGUCCACUGUCCCAAUUGUAAUUGACGACACUAAGCAACUAUCUCACUCCAGUCUUUGGAAUGUUUAUUUUCCAUUCCAUGUAUCUAUGGUCACUACUCACGGGGAGACAGGGUUUUUUUACUGAGGUUUUUCCCUAAGCUCUUGUAUCAUACUCCAAAUUGUAUGUUACCCC